GUCCACGCCCUAAACGAUGCGAACUGGACGUUGGGAGCAAUUAGGCUCUCAGUGUCGAAGCUAACGCGUUAAGUUCGCCGCCUGGGGAGUACGGUCGCAAGACUGAAACUCAAAGGAAUUGACGGGGCCGCACAAGCGGUGGAGUAUGUGGUUUAAUUCGAUGCAACGCGAAGAACCUUACCUUGGCCUUGACAUCCACGGAAUCCUUGAGAGAUCAGGGAGGUGCCUUCGGAACCGGUGAGACAGGUGCUGCAUGGCUGUCGU
rnacentral:rRNA from 1 species